rnacentral:lncRNA from 1 species
AGGCUGUCAGGUUUACCAUCUGUCAGGGAGGUAGAGUUGGAAUGAGAAUGGUAUCUGGACGCAGAACCAUUGUUUCCUUUCUUUCCUCUACAGAAUGGCACCUGCAGAGAGAGAGCUAAGAGUUAUCAGAAUAGUGAAAAAGAGGCUUGGUAGUUAAGGUUUUAUCUGACUUAGUACUUCACCCUGGUUUAUGCCCUGUUGGUGUGGGAAACGACGGAUGAAUCCUUAAGGUUUUAAUCUGAUAGAACAGUAAACCAGUGAGUUUAAGCUGGUAAGCAAGUACCAAGUUAUCCUUAGUUAGGAUUGAUGAUCUUUUAGCUGUUCUGAUAAGAGUUGAUUAUGGUUUUAGUGUAAUCCGAGUUUGGAGUAUCCCUUUUGCGAGUUAGGAAAA